GGAAUUUUGCGCAAUGGGGGCAACCCUGACGCAGCAACGCCGCGUGCGGGACGACGGCCUUCGGGUUGUAAACCGCUUUCAGCAGGGAAGAACCUUUGACGGUACCUGCAGAAGAAGCCCCGGCUAACUACGUGCCAGCAGCCGCGGUAAUACGUAGGGGGCGAGCGUUAUCCGGAAUGAUUGGGCGUAAAGCGCGCGCAGGCGGCCGCUCAAGCGGGACCUCUAACCCCGGGGCUCAACCCCGGGCCGGGUCCCGAACUGGGCGGCUCGAGUGCGGUAGGGGAGAGCGGAAUUCCAAGUGUAGCGGUGAAAUGCGCAGAUAUUUGGAAGAACACCGAUGGCGAAGGCAGCUCUCUGGGCCGUCACUGACGCUGAGGCGCGAAAGCCGGGGGAGCGAACAGGAUUAGAUACCCUGGUAGUCCCGGCCGUAAACGAUGGGCGCUAGGUGUGGGGAAACAUUUUCUCCGUGCCGCAGCCAACGCAUUAAGCGCCCCGCCUGGGGAGUACGGCGGCAACGCUAAAACUCAAAGGAAUUGACGGGGGCCCGCACAAGCAGCGGAGCAUGUGGCUUAAUUCGAAGCAACGCGAAGAACCUUACCAGGGCUUGACAUCCGGGUGAAGCGGCGGAGACGCCGUGGCCGAGAGGAGCCCGGACAGGUGGUGCAUGGCUGUCGUCAGCUCGUGCCGUGAGGUGUUGGGUUAAGUCCCGCAACGAGCGCAACCCCCGUCGCGUGUUGCCAGCAGGCAAGGCUGGGCACUCGCGCGAGACUGCCGGCGUCAAGCCGGAGGAAGGUGGGGACGACGUCAAGUCAUCAUGCCCCUUAUGCCCUGGGCUGCACACGUGCUACAAUGGCCGGCACAACGGGUUGCGACCCCGCGAGGGGGAGCGGAUCCCUCAAAGCCGGCCCCAGUUCGGACCGCAGGCUGCAACCCGCCUGCGCGAAGCCGGAGUUGCUAGUAAUCGCGGAUCAGCACGCCGCGGUGAAUACGUUCCCG
rnacentral:rRNA from 1 species